rnacentral:rRNA from 1 species
GCACAAGCGGUGGAUGAUGUGGAUUAAUUCGAUGCAACGCGAAAACCUUACCUACCCUUGACAUGUCCGGAAUCCCGAAGAGAUUUGGGAGUGCUCGCAAGAGAGCCGGAACACAGGUGCUGCAUGGCUGUCGUCAGCUCGUGUCGUGAGAUGUUGGGUUAAGUCCCGCAACGAGCGCAACCCUUGUCAUUAGUUGCCAUCAUUUGGUUGGGCACUCUAAUGAGACUGCCGGUGACAAACCGGAGGAAGGUGGGGAUGACGUCAAGUCCUCAUGGCCCUUAUGGGUAGGGCUUCGCACGUCAUACAAUGGUCGGUACAGAGGGUUGCCAACCCGCGAGGGGGAGCUAAUCCCACAAAGCCGAUCGUAGUCCGGAUCGCAGUCUGCAACUCGACUGCGUGAAGUCGGAAUCGCUAGUAAUCGUGGAUCAGCAUGUCACGGUGAAUACGUUCCCGGGUCUU